GGGCUUGUAGCGUAACGGUAGCGCGCGUGCAUGGCAUGCACGAGGUUGCGGGUUCAAAUCCCGCCAAGUCCA
rnacentral:tRNA from 1 species